rnacentral:rRNA from 1 species
UGGCGGCGUGCCUAACACAUGCAAGUCGAACGGAGUCUGUGGAAGUCCUCGGGAGCGGAAGCUGGACUAGUGGCGAACGGGUGAGUAACGCGUGAGCAACCUGCCUUUCAGAGGGGGGACAACGGUUGGAAACGACCGCUAAUACCGCAUAAUGUAUUGAGAUCGCAUGGUUUUGAUACCAAAGAUUAUAUCGCUGAAAGAUGGGCUCGCGUCUGAUUAGAUAGUUGGUGGGGUAACGGCCUACCAAGUCGACGAUCAGUAGCCGGACUGAGAGGUUGAACGGCCACAUUGGGACUGAGAUACGGCCCAGACUCCUACGGGAGGCAGCAGUGGGGAAUAUUGGGCAAUGGGGGGCAACCCUGACCCAGCAACGCCGCGUGAAGGAAGAAGGCUUUCGGGUUGUAAACUUCUUUUACCAGGGACGAAGGACGUGACGGUACCUGGAGAAAAAGCCACGGCUAACUACGUGCCAGCCGCUGC